rnacentral:rRNA from 1 species
AGAGUUUGAUCCUGGCUCAGAUUGAACGCUGGCGGCAGGCCUAACACAUGCAAGUCGAGCGGAUGACAGGAGCUUGCUCCUGAAUUCAGCGGCGGACGGGUGAGUAAUGCCUAGGAAUCUGCCUGGGUAGUGGGGGACAACGUUUCGAAAGGAACGCUAAUACCGCAUACGUCCUACGGGAGAAAGCAGGGGACCUUCGGGCCUUGCGCUAUCAGAUGAGCCUAGGUCGGAUUAGCUAGUUGGUGAGGUAAUGGCUCACCAAGGCGACGAUCCGUAACUGGUCUGAGAGGAUGAUCAGUCACACUGGAACUGAGACACGGUCCAGACUCCUACGGGAGGCAGCAGUGGGGAAUAUUGGACAAUGGGCGAAAGCCUGAUCCAGCCAUGCCGCGUGUGUGAAGAAGGUCUUCGGAUUGUAAAGCACUUUAAGUUGGGAGGAAGGGCAGUAAAUUAAUACUUUGCUGUUUUGACGUUACCGACAGAAUAAGCACCGGCUAACUCUGUGCCAGCAGCCGCGGUAAUACAGAGGGUGCAAGCGUUAAUCGGAAUUACUGGGCGUAAAGCGCGCGUAGGUGGUUUGUUAAGUUGGAUGUGAAAGCCCCGGGCUCAACCUGGGAACUGCAUUCAAAACUGACAAGCUANAGUAUGGUANAGGGUGGUGGAAUUUCCUGUGUAGCGGUGAAAUGCGUANAUNUAGGANGGAACCCC